CCUCCCUCUCUGCCCUCCUGCUGUGAAACCUCACCCUGCCCUAGCGAGGCACGAAAGGGUGUAAAGUCACCGGCUGGCUCCCUCCCUUGGUCACAAUAACAAGCCCGGCGCCGGGGCAACCGAGCGGGCAGCAGCGCCCAGGGAGUCCCCCGCCGCCUCCCGACAGCUCCGCCGCCCGUCUUGGCGCGCCAUCCUCCCUUCCCCAUCUCGCCCCGUGUCUCUUCUGCGCACCCCCGCCGGCUGCGGAAUACAGCGCUCGGGUGGGUUGGAGCUAACCCGGCCCGCAUGGAGCCCUCAGAGCGCGAGGCCGGCCCUCUCCUGCCGCCCAUCCAUGGCACCGCCAUGCCGCCGCCCCCGGCCUCCAUGCCCUAUGUCCCCCCGUGGAGACCCAGGUCAGCGCGACCGGCGCCCCCGGUAGGCAGACUAAAGUGGGAUCCCUAUGAAACGACAAUGAGACACGAUUUUGUCUUUAAUCCUGCAACAGAUGCUGGUGCAGAUUGUGCCAGAGCAGGUAAAGGGACUGUCAUUCCCUUUCAAGUAGAUGAGCCUACUGGAAGGAAUAACUACAGAGAUGAGUUCUGUUGGAAGCCUUAUUCCAAGGCUGAACCUAUAAGGACUGGCUCUGCAUCAGGCAUAAGGAGACACAAUCCUCAGCCUGGAGAACGGUUCCUGAUGUGGCAAAUGCCUCGAGAGGAAACACCAAUAUCUAUAGAAAGUUUUUCACCUUGGACGAAACCUAUUAGUAAGCAAGAGAUCGAGGAUUUAUUAAAAAAACAGUAUAAAACAUCUUACGCAAGAGAUUAUUUAGGGAUACAACCAGGUGCUCCAAGAGAUGGUGCUCCUGCUCCUUCGGACUGGAAAAUGUUAGUCCCCAAGCCACCAGAUACUGAAUCCAGGCAUCAUUACCAGCCCCAAGUCAAUGCUCCGGAGUUAAGGGAUUAUACUUGGAAAUAUGGAUGUAAUGCGAAGCGCCAUAUUCCGGCGAAAGGCACUGUUCCUUCAGUAUCUUUUGCUCAGAUCUGGAAUCAUGAAAACACCAAACAUCUGACCACAUACCAAAGAGAUUUUGGGAAAGAUUAUAAUGAGAUCCUAACAGUUUUGAAUUCUUUAGACCCAGAGGAAAUUAAAGCGUAUGUGGAUAGAGCUCCUCAUCCAGAAAAAACCAUCCUUCAGAACUUCCUUGAAAGGGUCAGCGGGGACAAGAAAUUCCAAAGGCCUUCCUCAUCGAAGAAGCCGGAAGAAAAUCCAGUCAAAUGUGUCUAAUAGCUUUAAGGAGAAAAUUCAGCAAUAUUCUAAGAGGCUGAAUCACACUUGAAUACCCUUGUGGUCUUUCUUUAUAGUAAACCUUUUGAAGAGCUACACCGAACUUUCUUAUACUUUAGGCUUUCUUUUGAAGUUGUAAAAGACUGUAGUACUACCAUCUCGUUGACCUUGGAAAUAUAGUAUGGAUUCAGGAACUUUCAUUCCAAUCAGAGAAGAUCUUGCAUAUUCCAUAUAUUGCAAAUCAAAUAUUUUCCCCUGCCCUAUUAUCAUUUCCUUGUUAUAAUGCUACUGCAAUUUAAAUAAAAAAAUAAUUACGAUAAACUUCUUUUUUAAAAAUAGAUAAGAAAAAGAGAACAUUCAUUCUAGCUUUAGAAUUUUGCUCUUCUACUAGAUUAUAUUGAUUUCUGGAUAUCAGAAAUUUAAUUGGGACUAUGACCUUUAAGUCGAUUAAUAAUAUGAGUUUUACACCACAUGGAUUUUUACAGUGCAAGCCUUUACAUGUCUAUGCAGAAGGAAGUCCUAUUGAGUUCAGUGAGAUUUACUCCCAGGAAAGGGGUAAUGGGUUUGCUGCCUUUAGUCAAUGAACUAAACAAUUAAAUUUGGAAAUUAGUGAAAAUAAUAGUUUUGAGGGCAAAGUAUUCCCUUUGUUUUUAGAUUAUGUACACAUGUGUUGUAGAAAAAAAAUGAUCUUCUAACACAGCGAUGACCAACCAGUCGACCGCGAUCAACAGGUAGAUCCCCAGAUGAUUGCGGUCGAUCGCAGGAUCCUUAUUGAUCGCGGGAUGAAAAGCAAUGUAUAAUGAAUGUUUCCGCCCCCACCCCCGUAAAAAAAACAACAACAAAACUCUGGGCAAUCCUCCCCUUCCACACACACACACACACAUGUUCCUCCUCCCUCUAAUGACAAUGGGUAGAUCACUGCCAGUUUUUUUAUUAUACUGGGAGUAGAUCUCAGUUUAUUGGGAGUUGGACGUUCCUGUUCUAACAGAUUGGCAACUAAAUAUUGUAGCCCUAGUUUUAAUUCCUUGAGUUCCCUUCCUCAGCAGAAAGCUGUUUUAUUCCUCUGAAGUUACAUCUUCCCAUGUUGGUCAGAUUAAGAGUCUUUAUUUCGUUAUGUAUAAAUUAUGUUUGCUGCUUUGUAAACUGAUUAAUUUAGGAACAGAACCCAAAUAAAUCUGUUAAGGCUGUGUAAACGCAACAUUUUAUUUUAUUCCAGAAUCAAUGGAGACUGAGUACUUCCCCCCCCACCACCAAUCCACACACGAAUUGCAUCCACACAUCUAUUGCAUUUUUUUUUGUCCCUGAAAAGUACUUCUUGUCACAGGUAACCUGUAUGGCUAGGAGUGCAUUAUUGUAGGUCCAGCUGGUUCAUCAUCUGUGGCCCCCUUCAGACAGAGAUGACUUGACCAUUCCGUGUUUUGCUAACUGCCAGCUUAGACUACGGUAUUGCAAUGUGCUCUUCAAAAUGAUUUGAAAGCUACAACUAGUGCCAUCUGCUGUGAGAACCCAUGCAACACUUCUAAAGUAACCACACUGGUUGCCUAUUAGCUCUAAACCCAAUUCAAGAUGCUUACACUAAUGUUUAAAGCCCUAAAUGACUCCCUCUUGGUGGCUCCUCUACUUUCAGAGUUUCUGUGGGCCAUGACUUGUGAGUGGGCCUUCUCGGUGUUGGCCCCAGUAAUGUGGAACUCCCUACUCAUAGAGAUGCAUCUGGCAUCAUCUCUGCAGCUUCCGUCAAUGGCUGAAGAUGAAUAUCUUUACCGUGACCUUUGAAAGCUGAAGAAUUGGUGUGUGUGUGUGUGUGUGUUGGGGAUUGGUUGUUGGUUUGGUUACUGUAUUAAUUGCAUCUAUAUAUUCUGUAACCCACACUGCGACUUUUUGAUGAAGGGCAGAUAGAAAAUACAAUCAGUAACAAUAAUACAUGUAUAAAAUUAUGUCUGAUGCAGAGAAGGGGCUUGGAGCAAUUCAUUGAUGAAAAGGCUACUAAUCAUGGUGACUGUACACUACCUCCAGAAUCAGAUCCUUGGAAUAUCAGCUGCUGUGAAAUGCAAGCAGUACUGUAGGUCUCAUAGGGCUUCCCACAGACAUCUGGCCAGCCACUAUGCUGGACUAGAUAGCCCUUUGGUCUGACUGAGCAGGGUUCUUCUUGUGGUCUUAGCUCAGAAUUCAGCAGCAACAAGCUAACCAGAAAUGUAGCUGACACCAUAAAAAGAAGUAACACACUUACUGUUCAUAUUGAGAUGACUGUGCAAUUCAAGAAAAAUAGCUGAUGAUUUACAGGUGGCAAUGAGAGGUCAUUGCAGAAAUACCGCCAAGGCAGGAAUGAAAAUGGCAUGCAUCAACCAAAAUGAGGACUUGUUUGGAGGGCUGAUUACAGAGGCGGUAGGUGAUAUUAUUUUUCAGAUGUAAAAUGAUGACUUUCAAGUCUUAUUAUGGCUUCAGGGUGUUGGUUUUGCCUGAGAGAGGAGGCAGGGAUAUUGUGCAUUAAAUUACAGUGGUACCUCGGUUUAAGUACACAAUUGGUUCCGGAGGUCUGUACUUAACCUGAAGCGUACUUAACCUGAAGUGAACUUUCCCAAUGAAAGUCAUGGAAAGUGGAUUAAUCCGUUCCAGAUGGGUACUCAACCUGAAGCAUACUUAACUCGAAGUAUGACUAUAAUUGGUUCCGGAAGUCCGUACUUAACCUGAAGCGUACUUAACCUGAAGCGAAUUUUCCCAUUGAAAGUCAUGGAAAGUGGAUUAAUCCAUUCCAGACGGGUCCACGGAGUACUUAAACGAAAAGUACUCAAACCGAAGCGUACUUAAACCGAGGUAUGACUGUAUUAUGAAGUGUGUCUGUCUCUCUCUGUGAGUGUGUGUAUUUGUGUGUGUCCUAUAUGUAUUCUGCUAUAUCACAACUAUCAAACAUAGUCAAACUACCUUUACAUGUUAUCAGCUUUCUACUGUUGAUAUAUAUAUCUCUCCAUCUAUUUUCCCUUUGAGAUUUGAUGACUAAAUAUCUGGCAGAUGGAGUGCUGCCUAUUAUCAGCCUGCCUGCACAGGCCUGAGCCAAAUUUAGCUCUUCCCUGAAAUAAUUUUCAUUCUCAGAAAAAAACAAUUAAGCACUGAUAGAGAAAACACAGAUUAUGACAAAUAAAAACAGCACCGUGCUAGCCACUGCUGGAGCACUAUAACCCAGUUCUGUUCCUGAGGUUAUUACACAAAUUCUUUAGUUUCUUAAUAUGUGCCACAAGCCUUCAGACUGAGGUAGUUGUGGUUUUCUGACAUUUCACUUGCAAUACGAAAUGUACUAACUGGAGCACUCUGUGCAUCAUAAUGGAAUUUGCUGGCUGGUGCUAUGAAUUGAGGAUGAAAAAAAUCUAAAAACUUUGUAUAACUUGUGCUUUGUAUAACAUAAUGCAGAACAGGACAUUCUGGAUUCACUUAGGUCUGUUUUGUACAUUCUUCCUCUUUUUUCUUUUUUGUAAACUGUGUGGUGUUCCUCACCAGGCAAAGAAGUGAUUGUGCAAAAGUGAAUGUCAUGUGAUUUUCUCCCUCUCUCAUCAUUUCAGUUUUUCAGCACCAGAAGAAAUUGUGGGGUGAGUCAGAAGCAGGAAGAUGUUGCUUCCUGCCAUAAUUCUCCUUUGAUGUUCCUUCUUCCCUGCUGCUUUUGGAUCAUUUGCACUCAAAUUGGUGGUUCAAAAUAAAUUCUGAUCAAUGCCUCCUACAAUAGCAUGGGCCCAGCUUCUGGGUUCUAGGUACACCUGAUAAUUAAAAAAAAACAUUAUCAGUGAAUAUUCCCUCUUGCACAAAAUUGAUGUUUGGAGCCAUCAGGGACAGGCUUUUCAUUGGUCAGGUAUCUACAUCUGGAUGAAGUUGGAUCAGGAUAGGACCAGAGGCAAUUAGCACAGACCAGAAUGACAGCAAUCAAGUUUCAGAAGAACCAACAAAGAUUCAAAAGGCCAGAGACAAUCCAAGGCAGAGGGCCUUAUCGGUAGUGGCAUCCGCCCUGUGGAAUGCCCUCCCAUCAGAUGUCAAGGAAAGAAACAACUAUCUGACUUUUUGAAGACAUCUGAAGGCAGCCCUGUUUCGGAAGUUUUAUCGUGUUUUUAAUAUUUUGUUGGGAGCUGCCCAGAAUGGCUAGGGAAACCAAUUCAGAUGGUUAUAUUAUUAUUAUAGGGGGGC